CCUACGGGGGGCUGCAGUCGAGAAUCAUUCACAAUGGGGGAAACCCUGAUGGUGCGACGCCGCGUGGGGGAAUGAAGGUCUUCGGAUUGUAAACCCCUGUCAUGUGGGAGCAAAUUAAAAAGAUAGUACCACAAGAGGAAGAGACGGCUAACUCUGUGCCAGCAGCCGCGGUAAUACAGAGGUCUCACGCGUUGUUCGGAAUCACUGGGCGUAAGGCGUGCGUAGGCUGUUUCGUAGGUCGUGUGUGAAAGGCGCGGGCUCAACCCGCGGACGGCACAUGAUACUGCGAGACUAGAGUAAUGGAGGGGGAACCGGAAUUCGCGGUGUAGCAGUGAAAUGCGUAGAUAUCGAGAGGAACACUCGUGGCGAAGGCGGGUUCCUGGACAUUAACUGACGCUGAGGCACGAAGGCCAGGGGAGCGAAAGGGAUUAGAUACCCGAGUAGUC
rnacentral:rRNA from 1 species